UCCUCUCUCAUGCGCUCCACUCUUUCUCUCUAUAUAUCUCAAUUUGAAUCCUUCCUCUCCUUUCUUUCUCAGAUAUUUUUUUCCUUUUCUUCCCUAAUUGAAGUCACUAUUUAGCUCUUCUUACUACUUUCACUGAGAGCUGCAAAUUGAUCUCUAUUUCAGGUGUCGUUGCGGAUUGAUUGCACUAUAUUUGACAGCUUGGUCAGACGCCAAUACUGGGAGAAGGUUCUACAAAUGCCCAAGAUCCAAGGUUAGUUGUUGCGGGUUUUUUGAAUGGAUUGACGAAGAGCUCCCUCGUCGAGCGAUGAUGAUGAUGCAAGAUUUAAAAACUAAACUUGAUGCUGCUAAGGUUGAGAGGAACAAUUUGAGGAAUAAAGUUUAUGACAUGGAACAAGCUACGAUUGUUCAAAGGGGCCCUAUGAAGAUGAAAGUUGAGGAAUUAGAGGAUGCUAUUAAAGCCGAAAGAGACAACUCUAAGAACUUGUUUGAUGAAAUGAAAGAUGUUAUCACGGUUGAAAGGCAUAAUUUGAAGAUGAAACUUGACGAAAUGGAGAAAUUUCAACUUGUGGAAGCUGAAAAAGCUAGUAAUUUAGAGGUCAAAGUGAAGAAGAUGAGAACAAUCAUUUUGAUUUCAUGGGCUUUGUUAUUUGCUUUGGUUGUCGUAGGGAUGAUGAAGUGAAUGUAUGUUGCUUUAAUAUGUUGUUGUAGUAUUUUGGUUUAGUUAUAGGGAUUAUGAAGUGAAUAUAUGUUGGUUUAGUAUGUUGUAGUAUUUUGGUUUAGU